AUCACCGCCGCACCCUUUCUUCUCUCAUUCAUCCACAUCCUUGCCCCAAAGAUGGCAUCUCUUUUUCGGUGCAAAUGUUUGGUGUUAUUCACCGAUCUCACAUCACAAACGGGUCUGGCUAAUCAUUUUGGAGCAGACUAUAGCAUGUUGAUUGUUCAUGGCGUUUCAAGGGCUCAAUUGAGAAAGGUCGUUAGGUACAUCAGUGCACAGAAACUUGCAGUCUAAGGAGCUUGAAGUGUCAUGUUGCCUGUUGUUUGAAGAGAACAUUUAAUA